rnacentral:rRNA from 1 species
CGAGUACGACCCGUUACGACGGGGAAGUGUCUGAUGUCAGGCUUCCAAGAAAAGCCCGAACCACGUUAAUUCAAAUUGGCCCGUACCCUAAACCGACACAGGUGGGAAGGUAGAGUAUACCCAGGGGCGCGAGAUAACUCUCUCUAAGGAACUCGGCAAAAUGGCCCCGUAACUUCGGGAGAAGGGGUGCCACCGAGAGGUGGUCGCAGUGAAGAGUCCCAGGCGACUGUUUACCAAAAACACAGGUCUCCGCUAAGUCGCAAGACGAUGUAUGGGGGCUGACGCCUGCCCAGUGCCGGAAGGUUAAGGAAGUUGGUCAGGGAGCAAUCCUGAAGCUAGCGACUGAAGCCCCGGUGAACGGCGGCCGUAACUAUAACGGUCCUAAGGUAGCGAAAUUCCUUGUCGGGUAAGUUCCGACCCGCACGAAAGGCGUAACGAUCUGGGAGCUGUCUCGGAGAGAGGCUCGGCGAAAUAGGAAUGUCUGUGAAGAUACGGACUACCUGCACCCGGACAGAAAGACCCUAUGAAGCUUUACUGUAGCUUGGUAUUGGGUUCGGGCUUUGAUUGCGCAGGAUAGGUGGGAGACUAUGAGAUAGCUCUUGUGGGAGUUAUGGAGUCACUGGUGAGAUACCACUCUAUCAAGGCUAGAAUUCUAACUUUGACCCGUUAUCCGGGCAGAGAACAGUAUCAGGUGGGCAGUUUGACUGGGGCGGUCGCCUCCUAAAUGGUAACGGAGGCGCGCAAAGGUUCCCUCAGGCUGGUUGGAAAUCAGCCAUUGAGUGUAAAGGCAUAAGGGAGCUUGACUGCGAGACUGACAAGUCGAGCAGGUACGAAAGUAGGCCUUAGUGAUCCGACGGUUCCGCGUGGAAGGGCCGUCGCUCAACGGAUAAAAGUUACUCUAAGGAUAACAGGCUGAUCUCCCCCAAGAGUUCACAUCGACGGGGAGGUUUGGCACCCCGAUGUCGGCUCAUCGCAACCUGGGGCUGUAGUCGGUCCCAAGGGUUGGGCUGUUCGCCCAUUAAAGCGGUACGUGAGCUGGGUUCAGAACGUCGUGAGACAGUUCGGUCCAUAUCCGGUGCAGGCGUAGGAACAUUGAGAGGAGUCUUCCUUAGUACGAGAGGACCGGGAAGAACGCACCGCUGGUGUACCUGUUAUCGUGCCAACGGUAAACGCAGGGUAGCCAAGUGCGGAGAGGAUAACCGCUGAAAGCAUCUAAGUGGGAAGCCCACCUCAAGAUGAGUGUUCCCAUGGCAAAAGCCAGUAAGGUCACGGGUAGACCACCCGUUAAUAGGCGCUAGAUGGAAGUCCAGCAAUGGAUGUAGUCGAGGCGUACUAACAGACCGAGGGCUUGAC